AUGCCUACGGGAGGCAGCAGUGAGGAAUAUUGGUCAAUGGCCGAGAGGCUGAACCAGCCAAGUCGCGUGAGGGAUGACGGCCCUACGGGUUGUAAACCUCUUUUGUCGGGGAGCAAAGAGAGUCACGUGUGACUCAUUGAGAGUACCCGAAGAAAAAGCAUCGGCUAACUCCGUGCCAGCAGCCGCGGUAAUACGGAGGAUGCGAGCGUUAUCCGGAUUUAUUGGGUUUAAAGGGUGCGUAGGCGGGACGGUAAGUCAGCGGUAAAAAUGCGGAGCUCAAUUCCGUCGAUCCGUUGAAACGUCCG
rnacentral:rRNA from 1 species